rnacentral:lncRNA from 10 species
CGGGCAUACAGAUAGUGAUGUGCAUAGGGGCAAAAGAAGUCAUAAUGGGAAAGCCAUGUGGAGGCAGCAGAGUGCCUGGUGUCCAAGGAAGCAUGUAUAGGGGGUACAUAUGGUGGCAGUUGUAUGCUCAGCAGAAGAAGCACCAGGGAGGUGAAGGUCACGUUGACAGCAUGAACCUUCGAUGUGAUGUGAGGAAAAUGGCAUUCUACCUCUGUGUUCUUCCUCCCCAAAAUUUGUAACCACCAUCUAAUCAUGAGGAAAACAUCAUACAAGUCCAAAUUGAGGAAGAUUCUACAAAAUGCCUGAUUAAUAUUCAUCGAAACUGUCAAGGUCAUCAAAAGCAAGGAAAGUCUGAGAAACUGCCACAGCCUAAAGACAAUCCAGGGAAACGUGAUGACUCAGUGGUAUUCGGGGUGGGUUUCUGGAACAGCAAAAGGACAACAGUGUUAACAUCUGGGCCAAACAUCUGGGCAGCAACAUCAGAAAGCCCCUCUGCUGUGCUUCAGGAUCACUCUUAUCACUGCAUAAAGGGUAUGCUACAUUUUUGCAGAAAGUCAGGAGGUUUAGAAACC